GACGAACGCUGGCGGCGUGCUUAACACAUGCAAGUCGAACGGAAAGGCCCUUUCGGGGGUACUCGAGUGGCGAACGGGUGAGUAACACGUGGGUGAUCUGCCCUGCACUUUGGGAUAAGCCUGGGAAACUGGGUCUAAUACCGAAUACACCCUGCUGGCUGCAUGGUCUGGUGGGGGAAAGCUUUUGCGGUGUGGGAUGGGCCCGCGGCCUAUCAGCUUGUUGGUGGGGUGAUGGCCUACCAAGGCGACGACGGGUAGCCGGCCUGAGAGGGUGUCCGGCCACACUGGGACUGAGAUACGGCCCAGACUCCUACGGGAGGCAGCAGUGGGGAAUAUUGCACAAUGGGCGCAAGCCUGAUGCAGCGACGCCGCGUGAGGGAUGACGGCCUUCGGGUUGUAAACCUCUUUCAGUAGGGGCGAAGCGCAAGUGACGGUACCUAUAGAAGAAGCACCGGCCAACUACGUGCCAGCAGCCGCGGUAAUACGUAGGGUGCGAGCGUUGUCCGGAAUUACUGGGCGUAAAGAGCUCGUAGGUGGUUUGUCGCGUUGUUCGUGAAAACUCACAGCUCAACUGUGGGCGUGCGGGCGAUACGGGCAGACUGGAGUACUGCAGGGGAGACUGGAAUUCCUGGUGUAGCGGUGGAAUGCGCAGAUAUCAGGAGGAACACCGGUGGCGAAGGCGGGUCUCUGGGCAGUAACUGACGCUGAGGAGCGAAAGCGUGGGGAGCGAACAGGAUUAGAUACCCUGGCAGUCCACGCCGUAAACGGUGGGUACUAGGUGUGGGUUUCCUUCCUUGGGAUCCGUGCCGUAGCUAACGCAUUAAGUACCCCGCCUGGGGAGUACGGCCGCAAGGCUAAAACUCAAAGAAAUUGACGGGGGCCCGCACAAGCGGCGGAGCAUGUGGAUUAAUUCGAUGCAACGCGAAGAACCUUACCUGGGUUUGACAUGCACAGGAUGUGCCUAGAGAUAGGUAUUCCCUUGUGGCCUGUGUGCAGGUGGUGCAUGGCUGUCGUCAGCUCGUGUCGUGAGAUGUUGGGUUAAGUCCCGCAACGAGCGCAACCCUUGUCUCAUGUUGCCAGCACGUGAUGGUGGGGACUCGUGAGAGACUGCCGGGGUCAACUCGGAGGAAGGUGGGGAUGACGUCAAGUCAUCAUGCCCCUUAUGUCCAGGGCUUCACACAUGCUACAAUGGCCGGUACAAAGGGCUGCGAUGCCGUGAGGUGGAGCGAAUCCUUUCAAAGCCGGUCUCAGUUCGGAUCGGGGUCUGCAACUCGACCCCGUGAAGUCGGAGUCGCUAGUAAUCGCAGAUCAGCAACGCUGCGGUGAAUACGUUCCCGGGCCU
rnacentral:rRNA from 1 species